CGCGGCCUAUCAGCUUGUUGGUGGGGUAAUGGCCUACCAAGGCGUCGACGGGUAGCUGGUCUGAGAGGAUGAUCAGCCACACUGGGACUGAGACACGGCCCAGACUCCUACGGGAGGCAGCAGUGGGGAAUCUUGCGCAAUGGGCGAAAGCCUGACGCAGCAACGCCGCGUGCGGGAAGAAGGCCUUCGGGUUGUAAACCGCUUUCAGCAGGAACGAAAAUGACGGUACCUGCAGAAGAAGGUGCGGCCAACUACGUGCCAGCAGCCGCGGUGACACGUAGGCACCAAGCGUUGUCCGGAUUUAUUGGGCGUAAAGAGCUCGUAGGCGGUUCAGUAAGUCGGGUGUGAAAACUCUGGGCUUAACCCAGAGCCGCCACCCGAUACUGCUGUGACUAGAGUCCGGUAGGGGAGUGGGGAAUUCCUAGUGUAGCGGUGAAAUGCGCAGAUAUUAGGAGGAACACCGAUGGCGAAGGCAGGUCUCUGGGCCACUACUGACGCUGAGAAGCGAAAGCAUGGGGAGCGAACAGGAUUAGAUACCCUGGUAGUCCAUGCCGUAAACGGUGGGAACUAGGUGUGGGCCUCAUUCCACGAGGUCCGUGCCGCAGCUAACGCAUUAAGUUCCCCGCCUGGGGAGUACGG
rnacentral:rRNA from 1 species